ensembl:lncRNA
GUUUUGAACACAUGCUUCGCGUUGUGCCGGCGAAACGCACAUUUCUUGUUAGGGGUCCAAGCCAACAGGUUGGAUCCCUAUUGUUUUUGUAAGGAUUUUUAUUAGGGGUCCAAGCCAACAGGUUGGAUCCCUAUUGUUUUUGUAAGGAUUUUUCUUAUUAUUAUUCCUGCGCUAAAUGUGGUACCACAGCCCAAACCGUAAAUGGUGCCGACACGCCAAUUGCAUGACUUGAUCCAGGUCCGGCACCGCUACUCAGAUAACAAAAUCCAGACACGCCGGCCACUAGGUGGCGCUAUACCAAGGAAAGACGCGUUUGGGGCUAUAACUCCCACACCGAACCUCC